rnacentral:rRNA from 1 species
UACGUAGGGUGCGAGCGUUAAUCGGAGUUACUGGGCGUAAAGCGUGCGCAGGCUGUUCUGUAAGUCAGAUGUGAAAUCCCCGAGCUCAACUUGGGAACUGCGUUUGAAACUACAGGACUAGAAUAUGUCAGAGGGGGGUAGAAUUCCACGUGUAGCAGUGAAAUGCGUAGAGAUGUGGAGGAAUACCAAUGGCGAAGGCAGCCCCCUGGGAUAAUAUUGACGCUCAUGCACGAAAGCGUGGGGAGCAAACAGG